rnacentral:rRNA from 1 species
AGAGUUUGAUCAUGGCUCAGGAUGAACGCUGGCGGUAUGCCUAACACAUGCAAGUCGAACGAUGUCUUCGGACAUAGUGGCGGACGGGUGAGUAACGCGUGAGAAUCUGCCUCUAGGAUGGGGAUAACGGUUGGAAACGACCGCUAACACCCAAUAUGCCGUAAGGUGAAAAAUUUAUUGCCUGGAGAGGAGCUCGCGUCUGAUUAGCUAGUUGGUGGGGUAAGAGCUCACCAAGGCUUCGAUCAGUAGCUGGUCUGAGAGGAUGAGCAGCCACACUGGGACUGAGACACGGCCCAGACUCCUACGGGAGGCAGCAGUGGGGAAUUUUCCGCAAUGGGCGAAAGCCUGACGGAGCAAUACCGCGUGAGGGAGGAAUGCCUUUGGGUUGUAAACCUCUUUUCUCAGGGAAGAAGAUCUGACGGUACCUGAGGAAUAAGUAUCGGCUAACUCCGUGCCAGCAGCCGCGGUAAUACGGAGGAUGCAAGCGUUAUCCGGAAUCAUUGGGCGUAAAGCGUCCGCAGGUGGUUUCCAAAGUCUGCUGUUAAAGACUGGAGCUCAACUCCGGAACGGCGGUGGAAACUUGGAAACUAGAGUUCGGUAGGGGUAGCAGGAAUUCCCAGUGUAGCGGUGAAAUGCGUAGAUAUUGGGAAGAACAUCGGUGGCGAAGGCGUGCUACUGGACCGUAACUGACACUCAGGGACGAAAGCUAGGGGAGCGAAAGGGAUUAGAUACCCCUGUAGUCCUAGCUGUAAACGAUGGAAACUAGGUGUGGCUUGUAUCGACCCGAGCCGUG